CCAGCAGCCGCGGUAAUACGUAGGGUGCGAGCGUUAAUCGGAAUUACUGGGUGUAAAGGGUGUGUAGGCGGGGCCGUAAGUCAGGGGUGAAAGGUCGCAGCUUAACUGCGACAUUGCCUUUGAUACUGCGGUCCUUGAGUGUCGGAGGGGCCACUAGAAUUCGUGGUGUAGCGGUGAAAUGCGUAGAUAUCACGAGGAAUACCAGAGGCGUAGGCGGGUGGCUGGACGACAACUGACGCUGAGGCACGAAAGCGUGGGGAGC
rnacentral:rRNA from 1 species